GACGAACGCUGGCGGCGUGCCUAAUACAUGCAAGUAGAACGCUGAAGGAGGAGCUUGCUUCUCUGGAUGAGUUGCGAACGGGUGAGUAACGCGUAGGUAACCUGCCUGGUAGCGGGGGAUAACUAUUGGAAACGAUAGCUAAUACCGCAUAAGAGUAGAUGUCGCAUGACAUUUGCUUAAAAGGUGCAAUUGCAUCACUACCAGAUGGACCUGCGUUGUAUUAGCUAGUUGGUGAGGUAACGGCUCACCAAGGCAACGAUACAUAGCCGACCUGAGAGGGGGAUCGGCCACACUGGGACUGAGACACGGCCCAGACUCCUACGGGAGGCAGCAGUAGGGAAUCUUCGGAAAUGGACGGAAGUCUGACCGAGCAACGCCGCGUGAGUGAAGAAGGUUGUCGGAUCGUAAAGCUCUGUUGUAAGAGAAGAACGAGUGUGAGAGUGGAAAGUUCACACUGUGACGGUAUCUUACCAGAAAGGGACGGCUAACUACGUG
rnacentral:rRNA from 1 species